CCUGACCCCCACGUCUCUCUGGCCUGGCAUAGCCCCACAUUGAGUUCUUAUGUGGGGCUAUGCCAGGCUGGAGAGACGUGGGGGUUGGG
rnacentral:miRNA from 1 species